rnacentral:rRNA from 1 species
UACGUAGGGGUCGAGCGUUGUCCGGAGUUACUGGGCGUAAAGCGUGCGCAGGCGGCUCAUUGCGCCCGGCGUGAAAGCCCCCGGCUCAACCGGGGAGGGUCGUCGGGGACGGGUGAGCUUGAGGGUAUCAGGGGUUGGUGGAAUUCCCGGUGUAGUGGUGAAAUGCGCAGAUAUCAGGAGGAACACCGGUGGCGAAGGCGGAUCUCUGGGCCGUAACUGACGCUGAGGAGCGAAAGCAUGGGGAGCGAACAGG